AGUCGAACGAUGAAGCCUUUCGGGGUGGAUUAGUGGCGAACGGGUGAGUAACACGUGGGCAAUCUGCCCUUCACUCUGGGACAAGCCCUGGAAACGGGGUCUAAUACCGGAUAAUACUUCUGCCUGCAUGGGUGGGGGUUGAAAGCUCCGGCGGUGAAGGAUGAGCCCGCGGCCUAUCAGCUUGUUGGUGGGGUAAUGGCCUACCAAGGCGACGACGGGUAGCCGGCCUGAGAGGGCGACCGGCCACACUGGGACUGAGACACGGCCCAGACUCCUACGGGAGGCAGCAGUGGGGAAUAUUGCACAAUGGGCGAAAGCCUGAUGCAGCGACGCCGCGUGAGGGAUGACGGCCUUCGGGUUGUAAACCUCUUUCAGCAGGGAAGAAGCGCAAGUGACGGUACCUGCAGAAGAAGCGCCGGCUAACUACGUGCCAGCAGCCGCGGUAAUACGUAGGGCGCAAGCGUUGUCCGGAAUUAUUGGGCGUAAAGAGCUCGUAGGCGGCUUGUCACGUCGGAUGUGAAAGCCCGGGGCUUAACCCCGGGUCUGCAUUCGAUACGGGCUAGCUAGAGUGUGGUAGGGGAGAUCGGAAUUCCUGGUGUAGCGGUGAAAUGCGCAGAUAUCAGGAGGAACACCGGUGGCGAAGGCGGAUCUCUGGGCCAUUACUGACGCUGAGGAGCGAAAGCGUGGGGAGCGAACAGGAUUAGAUACCCUGGUAGUCCACGCCGUAAACGUUGGGAACUAGGUGUUGG
rnacentral:rRNA from 1 species